UAUAACAAUGGCUUCACCACCAACCUGUUUGAGAAAACUCUGAAUAACUUUCUCCAAAGUAAAUACCUUCUUAAACAUCCAAUUACCACUGUUGCCAAAGAAACAAUCUAUUUACGUAUUCCAUUUUUAGGUGAGGUUUCCAAGAAAUUAGAAAGGGGUCUAUAUGAAAAACUUACAAAAUAUUAUCCUGAUAAACAUUUUCGUAUUGUGUCUACAAAUAGUCUAUGUAUAGGUAGUUUUUUCCUCUUUAAGGACACUCUGCCAACUGCCUUACGCUCGUCGGCUGUUUAUUGUUUCACUUGUCCCAGCUGCCAGGCUGAGUAUGUGGGUAGCACCUUGCGCUCACUUAUAAACCGAGCCAGCGAGCAUUUAGGCCAGUCUGCCAGAACAGGGCGCCCGCUACACAACGCCCCAUUUUCCGCGAUACGGGACCACUGCCUCUCAUACCACUGAUGAUGACAUAAGAUGAAAUGUCGAAACGUUUGGCCCAUUAAAGAUGCUGCUCGUA